rnacentral:rRNA from 1 species
UACGUAGGCAGCAAGCGUUGUUCGGAGUUACUGGGCGUAAAGAGUGCGUACGCGGUCUUUUAAGUUUGGUGUGAAAUCUCCCGGCUCAACUGGGAGGGUGCGCCGAAAACUGGGAGGCUUGAGGAUGGGAGAGGCAUGCGGAAUUCCUGGUGUAGCGGUGAAAUGCGUAGAUAUCAGGAGGAACACCUGCGGUGUAGACAGCAUGCUGGACCAUUUCUGACGCUGAGGCACGAAAGCGUGGGUAGCAAACAGG